rnacentral:rRNA from 1 species
AUGAACGCUGGCGGCGUGCCUAAUACAUGCAAGUCGAGCGAACAGACGAGGAGCUUGCUCCUUCGACGUUAGCGGCGGACGGGUGAGUAACACGUAGGUAACCUACCUAUAAGACUGGGAUAACUUCGGGAAACCGGAGCUAAUACCGGAUAAUAUUUCGAACCGCACGGUUCGAUAGUGAAAGAUGGCUUUGCUAUCACUUAUAGAUGGACCUGCGCCGUAUUAGCUAGUUGGUAAGGUAACGGCUUACCAAGGCAACGAUACGUAGCCGACCUGAGAGGGUGAUCGGCCACACUGGAACUGAGACACGGUCCAGACUCCUACGGGAGGCAGCAGUAGGGAAUCUUCCGCAAUGGGCGAAAGCCUGACGGAGCAACGCCGCGUGAGUGAUGAAGGUCUUCGGAUCGUAAAACUCUGUUAUUAGGGAAGAACAAACGUGUAAGUAACUGUGCACGUCUUGACGGUACCUAAUCAGAAAGCCACGGCUAACUACGUG